GUCGCCGUAGCUCAAUCGGAAGAGCGCAUGUCCGGUUUCUUUCAUACGAAUAGAUUAGUAAAUUGGAUCCGGGCAUGAGGUUGCGGGUUCGAGUCCCGCCGGCGACACAA
rnacentral:tRNA from 1 species